rnacentral:siRNA from 1 species
UAUGUUGUGGGUGUCGAUCGAU